rfam:Camelus ferus unplaced genomic scaffold scaffold185, whole genome shotgun sequence.
GAGGAUAUAGCUCAGUGGGUUCUGUGGUAGAGUGUGUGCUUAGCAUGCACAAGGUCCUGGGUUCAAUCCCCAAUACCUCCA